UACGUAGGUGGCAAGCGUUGUCCGGAAUUAUUGGGCGUAAAGCGCGCGCAGGCGGCCUCUUAAGUCUGAUGCGAAAGCCCCCCGGCUCAACCGGGGAGGGCCAUUGGAAACUGGGAGGCUUGAGUAUAGGAGAGAAGAGUGGAAUUCCACGUGUAGCGGUGAAAUGCGUAGAGAUGUGGAGGAACACCAGUGGCGAAGGCGACUCUUUGGCCUAUAACUGACGCUGAGGCGCGAAAGCGUGGGGAGCAAACAGG
rnacentral:rRNA from 1 species